UUUUACAUGUUUUCUUUCUAAUCACAGGGUAAUCACAGGACUGGACAAGUCCCUGAGCAACCUGAUCUGAUUAGACCUCUUUUGAACAGUGGAUUGGACUAGAGAACCUCCGGAGCAGUGGCUUGCGUGAGGAUUUGAGGCAUUGUGGAAAGGAAACUUCUUGGCUAGAUACACCACGCUCCAAAUUUUAUCUUGUGCAGACACCAAUAAAUACCUCCAAAUAAUGAUAUCAGUGGUCUGAAAUAUGUCAGCUGUCUAGGAAGGCAGCUUCUGCUCCCAAGAGAUUAAAAGGAUUUGUGCUGAACUGGAAUCCUGUCCUGGAUCCGAGCCACAUCUCUGGGCAGGUGCUCCUGAAAGAGAGAACUUGAUUUUGGGAAUCAUGGGAAGUCUGUGGUGAAUCAGUGGCCACGUCUGUUCCAGCCUGGUUCACCAUCACUUGCUU